CUAGUAGCUGCAAUACACCACCACAGCAUAAAGCAGUCAACCCAUUCAGAAAGAUUUUCAACCGUUUCAUGCGCCUGAUACGAAAAAAGCGAUCCAGAGUUGAGCCUUUACGGGAGGAUGCCGAGCAGAGUGGACUUGAGAUCCCCCAGCCUGUGGAGUCACUCCGUGUUCUAGAGGAUGUCAACAGACCAAUGAAUGAACAAAUUGACCUGGUCCAGUUGGUCAAAGUGGUUGAGGGACCUGUAGGCAGGCUGUACUCAGCAAGUGCAGUGACGCCCCACACCUCAGUGCCUCCCCCAGCUCCCUGUACACUCCUGUUUCAAUAAAGUUCUUUUGUGUUUCAAGCA